AUUGAACGCUGGCGGCAGGCUUAACACAUGCAAGUCGAGCGGGGUGAUGGUGCUUGCACUAUCACUUAGCGGCGGACGGGUGAGUAAUGCUUAGGAAUCUGCCUAUUAGUGGGGGACAACAUCUCGAAAGGGAUGCUAAUACCGCAUACGUCCUACGGGAGAAAGCAGGGGAUCACUUGUGACCUUGCGCUAAGAGAUGAGCCCAGGUCGGAUUAGCUAGUUGGUGGGGUAAAGGCCUACCAAGGCGACGAUCUGUAGCGGGUCUGGGAGGAUGAGCGGGCACACUGGGACUGAGACACGGCCCAGACGCCUACGGGAGGCAGCAGUGGUGAAUAUUGGACAAUGGGGGGAACCCUGAUCCAGCCAUGCCGCGUGUGUGAAGAAGGCCUUAUGGUUGUAAAGCACUUUAAGCGAGGAGGAGGCUCUUUUGGUUAAUACCCAAGAUGAGUGGACGUUACUCGCAGAAUAAGCACCGGCUAACUCUGUGCCAGCCGCCGCUGUAA
rnacentral:rRNA from 1 species